UGCAAUUUCAGGGGAUAAUUGAAGUUUUGUUAAUUUCAAAGAGGUAAUUGACGAAACUUACAAUUUUAGAGGAGUAAAUACCUAUUUACUUCCAUCAAAUUUAUGAUGAGGCGGCAUCAGGGCUGUUCAUAUUCAAAAUUGAUUCAAAUUAAAAUCAAAAACCAAAGAAAAUUGAAUAUUAUUGUACGUCAUUUUGUAAAAGUCACUCAGAACUUAUUAGUUUUCAAACUUGAACUAAAUGGCUUUCAUAAAUUUUAAUAAUUUUAAUCAUUCUUUUUUGUUUAUUGAUGUGAAAUGUGCAUUUAUGAAUGCAUUUUUUAAUGAAGAAGUCAAUGUUCAUCAACUUCUUGGUUUUAUCAGCAAAGAAAAACUUAACCAUGUUUUCAAAAUUAUAAACGCUAUAUAGGAUUUGGUAUGAGAGAUUGAACUCUUUUCUAAAAAAAAAAAAAAAGCUUUUCUAGAGUAUAUAUUGACACAACACUUAGAACUUACUCCCAUGUUAAAGAUUAUAGGUCUUCAAAUUUUUGGAAUGUUCCAUGGUUGAGUGCUAUCUGUAUACUAUUAGAGAACCAAUUCCAAGACUCUGUCAGGUAUGAUCCAAAUAAGGAGAUAUCCUUCCAUCAAUUUAAAACACCUCUUAAGCCUAAUGCUCGCCCACCUCGACGAUCCCAUUGAAACAGCAUGCAUGGCUCCAAUGGUAUCUUUCCACUACGCCUCUCCCUUGUGAUCAAUCUCCAACACCACUUCUCUAUAAGGGACAAGUUAACCAACCUUAGAGAGAGCUCUGCUACCCAACCCUUCUUCACUUUUAAGCUUACAAACAUCCGACAAUUGAACCCUAGAUAUUUUUAUCGACCAUUUAGACCAUCCCCAUAAAAAGCGACGUUCAAUCUUUAUUAUUCGUCUCGAAACACCAUUAGAUAUUUUCAUAAAAGAAAGGAAAAGGAACACAACAACAUCACUCUCAUCACUAGUAGAUCAAACAUUAGAAUCAUACUCACUAGAAUCACAAAAAAGCCCAAGACUUCUUUGUGAUAAACUUUCUAGUUUAUUGUACCAUCAACUCUCUUGACAUUAGAAUAACACAUUCUGUAAUAUGAAAAAAAAAAAAAAAAAAAACUAUUUUAGGGAGGCUUCAUGCCGCCGCCACCACCCCCCUCAAACUGUCUUUCAAAUAAUCACCAUUAGAGAAGACAAAAUGAUAAACUUAAACAAGUGGACAAAGUGAAAAGAAAGAGAAAAGCAAUACAUUAGAAGCAAAGAACACAACAUAGAUUAAAAUUGGAAGAAGUAUGACCUCGAGGAAACAAAGAAACACACUCUAUCUACGAGAUAAGAGGUAAUGAAUACAAAGUGAAAAAACAAAUGUCAUUAAUUAUCAGACAAUUAGAGGCACGUUCAACGAACACACACUGAUUUUACUAGAUCAUAUGGACAAGAGACACGAUCAUAUUAAAGUGAGAAGAACCCAAUUAUCCGAAGAAGUGAGCCACGAUCAAGGCCACAACGAAAUAAAAUGGAGUGAUUAAACCUCCCUAUAUAGGUCC
rnacentral:lncRNA from 1 species